CCCUAUGUCCAGCUAAGCAACAAGAUCAGGGUGGCGAUGGUCAGUUCUUGAGCUUCGAACGGGCAGAAAGCUAAACAACAAGAUCAGGGUGACCAUGGUCAGUUCUUGAGCUUCGAACGGGCAGGAAGCUAAACAACAAGAUCAGGGUGGCGAUGGUCAGUUCUUGAGCUUCGAACGGGCAGAAAGCUAAACAACAAGAUCAGGGCGGCGAUGGUCAGUUCUUGAGCUUCGAACGGGCAGAAAGCUAAACAACAAGAUCAGGGUGGCGAUGGUCAGUUCUUGAGCUUCAAACGGGCAGAAAGCUAAACAACAAGAUCAGGGUGGCGAUGGUCAGUUCUUGAGCUUCGAACGGGCAGAAAGCUAAACAACAAGAUCAGGGCGGCGAUGGUCAGUUCUUGAGCUUCAAACGGGCAGAAAG